UACGUAGGGUGCGAGCGUUAAUCGGAAUUACUGGGCGUAAAGCGCGCGUAGGCGGCUUUUCAAGCCGCUUGUGAAAUCCCCGGGCUUAACCUGGGAACUGCAGUCGGGACUGUCUAGCUAGAGUAUGGGAGAGGGAAGUGGAAUUUCAGGUGUAGCGGUGAAAUGCGUAGAUAUCUGAAGGAACAUCAGUGGCGAAAGCGACUUCCUGGACCAAUACUGACGCUCAUGUGCGAAAGCGUGGGGAGCAAACAGG
rnacentral:rRNA from 1 species